CAUGCCCCUUAUGACCUGGGCUACACACGUGCUACAAAUGGUUGGUACAACGAGUUGCGGGUCGGUGACGGCGAGCUAAUCUACUUAAAGCCAAUCUCAGUUCGGAUUGUAGGCUGCAACUCGCCUACAUGAAGUCGGAAUCGCUAGUAAUCGCGGAUCAGCACGCCGCGGUGAAUACGUUCCCGGGCCUU
rnacentral:rRNA from 1 species